GAGUUUGAUCAUGGCUCAGGAUUAACGCUAGCGGCAGGCCUAAUACAUGCAAGUCGUACGGUAACAGGUCCAGCAAUGGAUGCUGACGAGUGGCGCACGGGUGCGUAACACGUAUGCAACCUACCUUUGACUGGGAGAUAGCCCCGAGAAAUCGGGAUUAAUACCCCAUACAAUUACGAUGAGACAUCUCAUUGUAAUGAAAGCUCCGGCGGUCUUAGAUGGGCAUGCGCGACAUUAGCUAGUUGGUGAGGUAACGGCUCACCAAGGCACCGAUGUCUAGGGGUUCUGAGAGGAUUCACCCCCACACUGGUACUGAGACACGGACCAGACUCCUACGGGAGGCAGCAGUAAGGAAUAUUGGUCAAUGGACGCAAGUCUGAACCAGCCAUGCCGCGUGCAGGAAGACAGCCCUACGGGUUGUAAACUGCUUUUGUACGGGAAAAAACCUCCGGUCGUGCACCGGAGCUGAUGGUACCGUAAGAAUAAGCAUCGGCUAACUCCGUGCCAGCAGCCGCGGUAAUACGGAGGAUGCAAGCGUUAUCCGGAUUCAUUGGGUUUAAAGGGUGCGCAGGCGGAAUGAUAAGUCAGUGGUGAAAUCCUACGGCUCAACCGUAGAACUGCCAUUGAUACUGUCGUUCUUGAGUACACUUGAA
rnacentral:rRNA from 1 species